ACAAAAUGGGUUUGCAACUUCCGCAAUACAUCGGAGUACUUUCAGUGCCAGUAUUCACUAAACAGUCACAGUGUAAAUCCAUAUUAUAAGGAUGAUGUGCCGUCCUGCAAAAUUAACGGUGACAUUUUAUGGAUUUUGGCAAAUUUUCUUCAUUUUCCUCUGCUCAGCCAUUUCAGCAGUUGCAUUGAUUGGGGAAAACAUAUGUUACAGAGGGAAUGAAAGUUUCUGUUGUAAAGACUAUGAAGAAAAAAAUGACAUGUGUGUUGAGUGCAGACCUGGAUUUUGGGGAUAUAAAUGCAACUUGACAUGUCCAGAACCUCAUUAUGGUCCGCUUUGUCGUAUGCUUUGCAGUUGUA